AACGAACGCUGGCGGCAGGCUUAACACAUGCAAGUCGAGCGCCCCGCAAGGGGAGCGGCGGACGGGUGAGUAACACGUGGGAACAUGCCCUUUGGUUCGGAACAACUCAGGGAAACUUGAGCUAAUACCGAAUGUGCCGGUAACGGGAAAGAUUUAUCGCCAAGGGAUUGGCCCGCGUCCGAUUAGCUAGUUGGUGAGGUAAAGGCUCACCAAGGCUCCGAUCGGUAGCUGGUUUGAGAGAACGACCAGCCACACUGGGACUGAGACACGGCCCAGACUCCUACGGGAGGCAGCAGUGGGGAAUCUUGGACAAUGGGGGAAACCCUGAUCCAGCCAUGCCGCGUGAGUGAUGAAGGCCUUCGGGUUGUAAAACUCUUUCGACGGGGACGAUAAUGACGGUACCCGUAGAAGAAGCUCCGGCUAACUUCGUGCCAGCAGCCGCGGUAAUACGAAGGGGGCUAGCGUUGUUCGGAAUUACUGGGCGUAAAGCGCGCGCAGGCGGCUUCUCAAGUCAGGGGUGAAAGCCCAGAGCUCAACUCUGGAACUGCCCUUGAAACUGUGAAGCUUGAGUACGGUAGAGGUGAGUGGAAUUCCCAGUGUAGAGGUGAAAUUCGUAGAUAUUGGGAAGAACACCGGUGGCGAAGGCGGCUCACUGGACCGUUACUGACGCUCAGGCGCGACAGCGUGGGGAUCAAACAGGAUUAGAUACCCUGGUAGUCCACGCCGUAAACGAUGGACGCUAGCCGUUGGCAGGCUUGCCUGUCAGUGGCGCAGCUAACGCAUUAAGCGUCCCGCCUGGGGAGUACGGCCGCAAGGUUG
rnacentral:rRNA from 1 species